AACAACUAUAACGUUUCUGCGUUUUUCUCUUAGUAAAUUUUCAUCAUAUUUACGAGAAGGUGGCUUUUUCGCGUAAUUGAACUAUAUAUAUAAAAAAAAAACAACCUGUCGGUAAUCCAAUCCCGUUGACCAUAUAUUACUGCAUCACCGCAGUACCGCCGUCCGUUACAUUACGGCAACGACAAAAUGGCCGAACAACGAUCAUGUCGGCCGCGGUGACGGUACUAAAACUGAUCGUUCCCCAGACCACUCCUGUCUUCCAGCCACCGUAUAGUGUUUCAUUCCUUAUCCGUUGUUUUGGUGACCGAAUCCAAUAAAGUCCAGGGAAAUCUUGUCUAGAUCGUAGGAAAAAAAAACGUACAGAAACCGUUGCAUUAUUCCGAACGAACAUUA